rnacentral:tRNA from 1 species
GGGCUCGUGGUCUAGGGGUAUGAUUUUCGCUUCGCACCUUGCAAAGACGCAUGUGAACGGUCGUGGGUUCAAUUCCCACCGGGUCCA